rnacentral:rRNA from 1 species
AGAGUUUGAUCCUGGCUCAGGAUUAACGCUGGCGGCGUGCAUAAAACAUGCAAGUCGAGCGCGGUUUUCAGACUUCGGUUUGAAAAUCUAGCGGCGAACGGGUGAGUAACACGUGAGCAACCUACCUUAGAGCCCGGGAUAGCUCUGGGAAACCAGAAUUAAUACCGGAUGAAGUUGCAAUGAGACAUCUCGUUGUAAAA